rnacentral:ncRNA from 20 species
ACAGUACAAACUGAGCAGGCGAUGGAUCCUUUUGGGGUCUGUGGGGCUGGGCCGCUUUGGCGGCAGCGGGUUUGCAUCUUUGAUCACACCUGCGGGACAGUG